rnacentral:lncRNA from 1 species
CCUCCUUUCAGAGAGUGUUUCCGGAGCGCCUACUGUGUGCUCCUCCAUGGGGGUGGGGGCACUACCAGGCACAAAGGGUGCCAGUCCCCGUACCUUUGUAAGUUCGCCUCCUCCUCUGGGAGCUUGCCCUUGUGGGGAUGGGGAAACUGAGGCUCAGUCGGCUCAGAGUAACUCCCAGGUGCUAAAGGACCAGUUGUUUUGUCCGCUCAUAAGGCAAACGGCGCGGCGAAGACCACUUGGGAUAAAACCCCAAGCCUAGCGCAGAUGGUCGGCCAGGGGAGCCUCUGGUGGGCAGUCACAAGCCCACGGAUUCCACCAGUGACCCCAGGCCUGCUCACAUGAGUGACGCGUUCCUCCCCAUGGCCAGCAGCAGAGCGGACUGAAUGCUGGGUGACAGGCUGGCCUCAGACUCCGGUGCUCAAGGAUAUUCUUGCUUCAGGUUCCCAAAUAGCACUGCACACUGCACACGUGAAUCCCCAUGCCUGAUGGAUUCAAAAACUCUCUUACCCUCUUUGAUGAGGCCCUCCACCGAGACUUGGAAGCGCCCAGUAGCCUAUCUGUCAAAGAAACUGGACCCCGUGGCUAGCAGAUGGCCCUCCUGUCUACAGGCAAUAGCAGCCACAGCUGUGUUGGUGAAAGAUGCUGAUAAAUUGACUAUGGGCCAAAAUGUGACAGUGGUGGCCCUGCACACCCUUGAGAGCAUUAUUCGGCAGCCACCAGAGCUUGUUGUUGACCAAGCGGGUGACCUUCGCUCCACCCACCAUUCUUACCCCCACCACUUUACUGCUUGAAGCUAAUGAAACCCCCGUACAUCUCUGUGAGGAGAUACUGGCAGAGGAAACUGGGACUCGGCCAGAUUUAACUGACCGAUCAUGGCGCGGAGCGGUGGCCUGGUUCACCGAUGGAAGCAGCUUCAUGGUAGAAGCCCGGCUGAAGGCUCUCGAAAUCGUGAGGAAAGAAACUGGGAGCAGUUGAAAGAAACCUACACCGCCAGCGACUUACAGGUUUCACAUCAGUUUGAAGUGGGAGACACAGCCCUGGUGAGGAGGCACCGAGCGGGGAACCUCGAGCCGCGUUGGAAAGGACCCUCCCUGGUACUAUUAACUACAGCCACCACCCUUAAAGUAGAAGGAAUCCCCUCUUGGGUUCAUGCCUCACAUGUUAAGAGGGCUCCCCCUGAGACUGAUCGUGAUGAGUGGACCCUGGAAAAGACUAAUAAUCCUCUUAAGUUGCGCUUGCGUCGCAAGAGCGACUCAGAACAGAGACAUCAACCCUCAUACUCCAACAAUCAUGGGAAGUGCUUAAUGAGGAGGGGGACACUGUAUGGUCGACCACCGCAGUACAACCCCCAUGGACCUGGUGGCCCGACCUCACACCUGAUAUUUGUAAGUUAGUAGCAGGGUCACUUACCUGGGACCUCCCCGACCAUACCGACCUUCAUAAACCACCACCUGAUAAACAGUGUGUCCCGAGCGGGAUAGGGAGCACGUUUGGAUGCUCAGGACAGUUCUACCGAGCCAAUCUUCGGUCUGCAGAAUUUUAUGUUUGCCCUGGCCAACCACGAAAGCUUCGGCAUCAGUGUGGAGGGGCACCGGACUUUUACUGUGCUGCAUGGGGUUGCGAGACCACAGGUGGAGCUUAUUGGAAUCCUACCUCUACCUGGGACCUGAUCACGGUAAAAAGGGGCAGUAGCUAUGACCAGCCAAACCAAGGUGAGAGAGAUAGUUCUAAAUACCUUGAGAGCGGGUGUUCCUGGUUCAACAGCCCUAAUGGACCUUGUAAAGAUAACUAUUGCAACCCCAUACGUAUAAAAUUUACUGACCAAGGGAAACGAGAACGCCAGAGCUGGCUUAAGGGAAACAAUUGGGGUUUGCGAUUGGACGAAGUAGGGAAAGACCCUGGAUUAGUUUUCAAAAUCAAAUUGACUGUGGAGAGUCCAUCCCCAGUGCCCAUAGGACCUAACAAGGCCCUCCCAGAACAGGACCUCCCUGCCAAACCCAAACCCCUGGCUCCAAUAAUUGAGAACCCCCUCAAGGUCGGCACCUCCCAAGAUUCCCCGACCACAAUCUCCUCAGAUCCCUCGACGGGACAGAGACUGUUCAACCUGAUUAGAGGGGCCUUUUAUGCCCUUAACAGCACUGAUCCAGAUGCUACAACUGACUGCUGGCUAUGCCUGUCCUCUGUCCCUCCCUAUUAUGAGGGGAUCGCCCUUAAUGGAGAGUUUAACACAACCACCAGUCAUGCUUCCUGCUCAUGGGGAACAGAAAAAAAAUUAACCCUGACUGAGGUGUCGGGAAAGAGCCCUGGUCUCUGCAUAGGGACACCCCCCCCUUCCCAUCAACACCUAUGUAACCGAACCCAUCCUGUAUCUAGGACAAGUACCAACCAUUACCUUGUACCAACACCAGUCGGCUGGUGGGCCUGUAACACGGGACUCACACCGUGUGUAUCAACUAAUGUGUUUGACUCCUCCAAAGAUUUUUGUGUCAUGGUUCAACUUUUACCCCGCAUAUAUUAUCAUACUGCCUCCAGCCUAGAAGACGAAUAUACCAAUAAGAGAAUUAAAAGAGAACCAGUUACCCUUACCCUGGCUACAUUGGUGAGGGUAGGUCUCACGGUGAGAGUAGGAACAGGGGUAUCAGCCUUAAUUGAGGGUAGACAAGGAAUCAAGUCCUUGAGAGAUUCUAUAAAUGAAGAUUUAAGCAUGCUAGAAAAGUCUAUCAAUACAUUAGAAAAAUCCUUGACCUCCCUGUCAGAAGUAGUAUUACAAAACAGAAGAGAUUUAGAUUUACUGUCUUUAAGGGAAGGUGGACUAUGUGCAGCUUUAAAAGAAGAAUGCUGCUUCUACGCAGACCACAUGGGGAUAGUCAGAGAUUCUAUGCAGAAAUUGAGAGAAAGGCUAGAAAAGAGAAAACGAGAUCGGGAAGCUCAACAGGGAUGGUUUGAGUCGUGGUUCUUUAAAUCUCCGUGGAUGACCACUUUAUUUUCUGCUUUGGCCGGGCCGCUUCUUAUUAUAUGUUUGGCAUUGAUCUUCGGCCCCUGCUUAAUAAAUCAGGGAAUUGCUUUCGUUAACAGUAGAGUGAAUGUAGUGCAGCUUAUGGUUCUCCAACACCAAUAUUAACCUAUAGUGAAGAUAGAAGAAGAAUAUGAUUCCUACCCCCCACAUGAGGAUACAGACCUUUAAAAUUCUAAGAUUAGAAUUAUUUAGUAGAAGAAGAGGGGAAUGAAAGAAAGAAAACCAAAUUCAAGGCCCCAGACAGGCCAGCACAAAGGCUGUUAAGUCAUUCCAGGAACUGACUUGCCAUAAAGAUAAGAGGCAUGCAAGAACAAUCUCUGGACAGGCCCAGUUGAGAUUGGGCCACCUGUUCUGGUCUCCUUCUGAUACGGUUUGAGUUUAACCAGAUGCUCUGCUGACAUAGAUAAGCACCCUCCCUCUAGAGUUGCUGUUGUCCCGACCCGCAAGUACCCGCUUGCUGAUGUUUAAACUGUCCAAUUGUGUGUAACCGCGCCAAUUUCCCCUACCCCUGACUUUUUUUCUAUAUAAACUCCUAACUUUUGAGCCUCAGGGUCGAUUCCUCUGUCUCCUGCAUGAGACAUGUGUUGGCCUGGAGCUCCGUCAUUAAACUCCCUCGUGUUUUU